UACAGGGGGUGCAAACGUUGCUCGGAAUUAUUGGGCGUAAAGAGCUCGUAGGCGGUGUGUCGCGUCGGCCGUGAAAACCUGCAGCUUAACUGUGGGCUUGCGGUCGAUACGGGCAUCACUGGAGUUCGGCAGGGGAGACUGGAAUUCCUGGUGUAGCGGUGAAAUGCGCAGAUAUCAGGAGGAACACCGGUGGCGAAGGCGGGUCUCUGGGCCGAUACUGACGCUGAGGAGCGAAAGCGUGGGGAGCGAACAGG
rnacentral:rRNA from 1 species